rnacentral:rRNA from 1 species
CACCGCGGUUAUACGAAAGGCCCAAGUUGAAAAACAUUCGGCGUAAAGGGUGACUAAGGACCCAUUUAAAACUAGAGCUGAAUUUCUUCAAAGCUGUUAUACGCUCAUGAAAACUAGAAAAUCAACCACGAAAGUGGCUCUAAUCCCUCCUGACACCACGAAAGCUAUGACA